CGGCGGAUGGGUGAGUAACACGUGGGUAACCUACCUACAAGCUUGGGAUAACUCGUGGAAACGCGAACUAAUACCAAAUGCGAUCUUUUACCUCCUGGUAAAAGAUUAAAAGACGGUUUCGGCUGUCACUUGUAGACGGGCCCGUGGCGCAUUAGCUAGUUGGUGAGAUAAAAGCUUACCAAGGCAACGAUGCGUAGCCGACCUGAGAGGGUGAUCGGCCACACUGGGACUGAGACACGGCCCAGACUCCUACGGGAGGCAGCAGUAGGGAAUCUUCCGCAAUGGACGAAAGUCUGACGGAGCGACGCCGCGUGAAUGAUGAAGAUCUUCGGAUCGUAAAAUUCUGUUGUUAGGGAUGAACAAGUGUGAGCAUAACUACUCACACCUUGACAGUACUUAACCAGAAAGCCCCGGCUAACUACGUGCCAGCAGCCGCGGUAAUACGUAGGGGGCGAGCGCUGUCCGGAAUUAUUGGGCGUA
rnacentral:rRNA from 1 species